CCCAGAUCCCCGCUCACCACGCUGACCUCUUCCAUUGUGCGGCCCCAUAAUCCGGAUUACGUCACCGGAAUUACUGUAGGUGAGUGACGCCACCACAUACAGGGCUUCUCUCACUGACCGCCAAUGAAAGAGGUGCCCCUUCCGGAAGUGCUGGGGGGGGGGGGCGGAUACAUGGCCUCAGGGCGCUGCAUGUGGCCCACGGGCUGUAGUUUGGGGACCCCCUGCUGUAGGGACUUCCUUAAAGUACAUAGACAGGGAAUGUAGAGAAAGGACUUUUUUUUUUUUAAUCCCCCCAAAGUUCUUUGGAAUAUGCUGAGCCUGAAAGAGAGAAUUUGGCUUGCUGUCAUUUGGAAAGUUAUAUCACCUAUAAAUACAGAAAUGGAGAUGAAGGGGAAAUGUUGAUAUUUAUUGUACAAUCCCAUAUAACAUGACUGGAGGGAUAUUGGUAUUUGGAACACUGUGAUCUAAGAAGAAGAAAUCAAGACAAAAAACCCAUUGGACAAUAGAAAGAUAAAUGUGCUCAAGGCUCAGAGUUAGCAGCAGCAGCAGCAGGGGCACAUCAGGCCAAGAUGAAGAAGAAACUCAAAGCCAUCCAAACACACUCCAAAUGAUCAUGGGAGAACAAAAAUGCCUCACAAUCAAUCCUGGAGAAGCAGAACCAACAGAAGAAGGGGUAAAGUAGUGUUCUGGUCCAGAACAACAUCAGGAGACAUCAAGAAGGACUCAGAAACCAAUGAAAUACAGAAUAAGCAACAGUGGGAGGGAUUCAGCCUAACAAGGUCCUGAUUGGGAUGGACUGGGCAGAAUACAACUAGACCCAGUUAAACUGAAUAGCUGCAAAACUCCAUAGAGCAGGCCAACCAGGCCACUUCUGCAGAGUGCUCAACCUGAGAUUGAGGCAGCUGAGCUGAUCCUAGAUCCAGUACAAGUACAGCAUAGCACUCCUUUAACCCCAGGAAUGGUGCUACACUUCAGCAUAUAGAUGAAAUCAAGGGAUAAAAUAACUCCCCAAAGGAGAAAAUGACAGAAAAAAGUCUGAUACUAGAAAAAAAUAUUUCAAUGAGAGAGAUGACCAAAAUACAGGCUCAGAAUAGGACAGCAGUACAAAAAUGAAUAUGUGUGAAGCCUCAAAGGAAAAUGUGAAAGGAUGUCAAGCCUUCAGUGAACUCUUGGACGAGCCCUCCAAAAGGAUAGAAAAACAAGUAAUAAGAAAAUUUGAAGUAAAAUUAGAAAAGAAAAUGAUAGAAAAAUCAGUCGCUUAGAACAAAAAUUUACUGAAGAAAGUAGUUUCCUAAAAAGGAGAUGUAAUAGUACAAAGCCUUAACAGAGAAAAUGGCUCUUUAAAAAACAGAACUAGGCAAAUGGAAACUAAUAACUUCAUGAGAGACAGCAGGAAAUAAAUUGAAAAAUGAAAAAAAAUUGAAGAAAAUUUGAAAUCUCUCAUGGUAAAUAGUGUUUGGUAAAUGGUAAAUACAGAAUUGAAUGCAAAACUAAACAGAUACAUGCUGACCAAUA